CCUACGGGUGGCAGCAGUCGAGAAUCAUUCACAAUGGGGGAAACCCUGAUGGUGCGACGCCGCGUGGGGGCAUGAAGGUCUUCGGAUUGUAAACCCCUGUCGUGUGGGAGCAAAUUAAAAAGAUAGUACCACAAGAGGAAGACACGGCUAACUCUGUGCCAGCAGCUGCGAUAAUACAGAGGUGUCAAGCGUUGUUAGGAAUCACUGGGCGUAAAGCGUGCGUAGGCUGUAUCGUAAGUCGUGGGUGAAAGGCGCGGGCUCAACCCGCUGACGGCACAUGAUACUGCGAGACUAGAGUGAUGGAGGGGGAACCGGAAUUCUCGGUGUAGCAGUGAAAUGCGUAGAUAUCGAGAAGAACACUCGUGGCGAAGGCGGGUUCCUGGACAUUAACUGACGCUGAGGCACGAAGGCCAGGGGAGCGAAAGGGAUUAGAUACCCGUGUAGUC
rnacentral:rRNA from 1 species